rnacentral:RNase_P_RNA from 1 species
GGAGUCGGCCAGGCAGUCGCUGCAUCGUCUCGAUGUGGAGGAAAGUCCGGGCUCCAAAGGGCAGGGUGCCAGGUAAUGCCUGGGGGGCGCGAGCCUACGGCUAGUGCCACAGAAAAUAUACCGCCUAAGCACCUUAAGGGUGCCGGUAAGGGUGAAAAGGUGCGGUAAGAGCGCACCGCGCGGGUGGUAACAUGCCGCGGCAGGGUAAACCCCACCCGGAGCAAGACCAAAUAGGGGGCAUCGAUGUGGCCCGCAUCGCUCCCGGGUAGGUCGCUUGAGGCGCGCGGCGACGCGCGUCCCAGAGGAAUGGCUGCCCACGACAGAACCCGGCUUAUCGGCCGGCUCCCACU